rnacentral:rRNA from 1 species
GAUGAACGCUGGCGGCGUGCUUAACACAUGCAAGUCGAACGGAAAGGCUCCUGCUUGCAGGGGUACUCGAGUGGCGAACGGGUGAGUAACACGUGGGUGAUCUGCCCUGCACUUCGGGAUAAGCCUGGGAAACUGGGUCUAAUACCGGAUAGGACCACAUUUUGGAUGGUGUGGUGGAAAGUUUUUCGGUGUGGGAUGAGCUCGCGGCCUAUCAGCUUGUUGGUGGGGUAAUGGCCUACCAAGGCGUCGACGGGUAGCCGGCCUGAGAGGGUGGACGGCCACAUUGGGACUGAGAUACGGCCCAGACUCCUACGGGAGGCAGCAGUGGGGAAUAUUGCACAAUGGGCGCAAGCCUGAUGCAGCGACGCCGCGUGGGGGAUGACGGCCUUCGGGUUGUAAACUCCUUUCGCUAGGGACGAAGCGCAAGUGACGGUACCUGGAGAAGAAGCACCGGCUAACUACGUG